GAAUGCUGGCGGCGUGCCUAAUACAUGCAAGUCGAGCGGUAACAGGGCUUCACCGUGUCUUGACACUCCGGGCGUAUCGCGGGAGGAAAGAUUCGAGGACACAGUGAAGCUGCUGACGAGCGGCGGACGGCUGAGUAACGCGUGGGAACAUACCCUAAACUGAGGGAUAACUAGUCGAAAGAUUAGCUAAUACCGCAUAUGAUCUUCGGAUUAAAGCUUUCGGGCGGUUUAGGAAUGGCCUGCGUACGAUUAGAUAGUUGGUGAGGUAAAUGGCUCACCAAGUCAACGAUCGUUAGAUGGUUUGAGAGGAUGAUCAUCCAGACUGGGACUGAGACACGGCCCAGACUCCUACGGGAGGCAGCAGUAGGGAAUCUUUCACAAUGGGCGAAAGCCUGAUUGGAGCAACGCCGCGUGCAGGAUGAAAGCCUUCGGGUUGUAAACUGCUUUUAUAUCCGAGAAAUAUGAUGGUAAGAUAUGAAUAAGGAUCGGCUAACUACGUGCCAGCCGCGGC
rnacentral:rRNA from 1 species